rnacentral:lncRNA from 1 species
AUGGGGGUUGUGGACAACCUUUCAAGUUAGCAUUAAAGCGAAUUCAUGAACAUGUUGAAAGAGAGAGUAUAUAUGUUAUAUUGAUAUGAAACUAGGCAUUUUGUUCUUUUGCUUUUCUUUUUUGGACUUUAGCUUUGUCCUCCCUUAUUAAUAAUGACUCAUGGAGUGGCCUCUGGACAAUAAAAGCAAGAAGAUUCAAUUGUC